UACAGAGGUCUCAAGCGUUGUUCGGAUUCAUUGGGCGUAAAGGGUGUGUAGGUGGCGCGCUAAGUCGGGGUGUGAAAUUUCGGAGCUUAACUCCGAAACUGCAUUCGAUACUGGCGUGCUUGAGGACUGGAGAGGAGACUGGAAUUCAUGGUGUAGCAGUGAAAUGCGUAGAGAUCAUGAGGAAGACCAGUGGCGAAGGCGGGUCUCUGGACAGUUCCUGACACUGAGACACGAAGGCCAGGGGAGCAAACGGGG
rnacentral:rRNA from 1 species